rnacentral:rRNA from 1 species
GAUGAACGCUGGCGGCGUGCCUAAUACAUGCAAGUCGAGCGAACAGAUAAGGAGCUUGCUCCUUUGACGUUAGCGGCGGAUGGGUGAGUAACACGUGGGUAACCUACCUAUAAGACUGGGAUAACUUCGGGAAACCGGAGCUAAUACCGGAUAACAUUUGGAACCGCAUGGUUCUAAAGUGAAAGAUGGUUUUGCUAUCACUUAUAGAUGGACCCGCGCCGUAUUAGCUAGUUGGUAAGGUAACGGCUUACCAAGGCAACGAUACGUAGCCGACCUGAGAGGGUGAUCGGCCACACUGGAACUGAGACACGGUCCAGACUCCUACGGGAGGCAGCAGUAGGGAAUCUUCCGCAAUGGGCGAAAGCCUGACGGAGCAACGCCGCGUGAGUGAUGAAGGGUUUCGGCUCGUAAAACUCUGUUAUUAGGGAAGAACAAACGUGUAAGUAACUGUGCACGUCUUGACGGUACCUAAUCAGAAAGCCACGGCUAACUACGUG